GGACAGGAGAGGUCUGGGAGGACAAACUGAGUCUGGAAGUGCUGAGAUGGGAAGGAUGAAGUAGGACAGACAGGACAGGAAAGACCUGGUGGGACAGGCAGGGUUUGGAAACCCAUCAGGACAGACAGGACAGGAAGGACAGGAAAGGUCUGGAAGGACAGGCAGGGUCUGGAAGUGCUGAGAUGGGAAGGAUGAAGUGGGACAGGCAGGACAGGAAAGACAGGGAAGGUCUGGAAGGACAAGCAGAGUCUGGAAGUGCUGAGAUGGGAAGGAUGAAGUGGGACAGACAGGACAGGAGAGAUCUGGGAGGGCAGGAAAGGUCUGGAAGGACAGAGAAAGACCUGGUGGGACAGGCAGGGUUUGGAAACCCAGCAAGACAGACAGGACAGGGGAGGUUGGGAAGGUCUGGAAGUCUGAGAUAGGAAGGAUGAAGUGGGACAGGAAGGUUGGGAAGGACAGGAAAGGUCUGGACAGGGUCUGGAAAUGCUGGACAGGAAAGAACAGGCAGGACAGGGAAGGUCUGGAAGGGCAGGAAAAUACCAGGCAGAGUCUGGAAAUGCUGGGCAGGGAAACAACCGGCAGGAGAAACUGGGAUGGGCUGGGAUCAAAGGUCUGGGAGUGCCAGGAUGGGACAGACAGGGACAGGGAAGGUCUGGAAGGACAGAAAGACCUGGUGGGACAGACAGGGUUUGGAAACCCAUCAGGACAGA